UGAAGGAAUGAUUGACCCCACCGGAUUG
rnacentral:sRNA from 1 species